rnacentral:rRNA from 1 species
CCUACGGGAGGCAGCAGUGGGGAAUAUUGGACAAUGGGCGCAAGCCUGAUCCAGCCAUACCGCGUGGGUGAAGAAGGCCUUCGGGUUGUAAAGCCCUUUUUGAAGACUCGCGGUACCCAAAGAAUAAGCACCGGCUAACUUCGUGCCAGCAGCCGCGGUAAUACGAAGGGUGCAAGCGUUACUCGGAAUUACUGGGCGUAAAGCGUGCGUAGGUGGUUGUUUAAGUCUGCUGUGAAAGCCCUGGGCUCAACCUGGGAAUUGCAGUGGAUACUGGGCGACUAGAGUGUGGUAGAGGAUAGUGGAAUUUCCGGUGUAGCAGUGAAAUGCGUAGAGAUCGGAAGGAACAUCUGUGGCGAAGGCGACUAUCUGGGCCAAACUGACACUGAGGCACGAAAGCGUGGGGAGCAAACAGGAUUAGAUACCCUUGUAGUC